GAUGAACGCUAGCUACAGGCUUAACACAUGCAAGUCGAGGGGAAACGGCAUUAAGUGCUUGCACUUUUUGGACGUCGACCGGCGCACGGGUGAGUAACGCGUAUCCAACCUUCCCAUGACUAAGGGAUAACCUGCCGAAAGGCAGACUAAUACCUUAUGGUCUUCACUGACGGCAUCAGAUGUGAAGUAAAGAUUUAUCGGUUAUGGAUGGGGAUGCGUCUGAUUAGCUUGUUGGCGGGGUAACGGCCCACCAAGGCAACGAUCAGUAGGGGUUCUAAGAGGAAGGUCCCCCACAUUGGAACUGAGACACGGUCCAAACUCCUACGGGAGGCAGCAGUGAGGAAUAUUGGUCAAUGGGCGAGAGCCUGAACCAGCCAAGUAGCGUGCAGGAUGACGGCCCUAUGGGUUGUAAACUGCUUUUGUAUGGGGAUAAAGUCAAUCACGUGUGAUUGUUUGCAGGUACCAUACGAAUAAGGACCGGCUAAUUCCGUG
rnacentral:rRNA from 1 species